AGUGAACGCUGGCGGCGUGCUUAACACAUGCAAGUCGAACGAGAACGGGUUAUAGCUUGCUAUAAUUGUCAGCUAAGUGGCGCACGGGUGAGUAAUGUAUAGGUAAUAUGCCUCUUACUAAGGGAUAACAAAUGGAAACGUUUGCUAAUACCUUAUACUCCUUAUUAACAUAAGUUAAUAAGGGAAAGAUUUAUUGGUAAGAGAUUAGCCUGUAUUGUAUCAGUUAGUUGGUGGGGUAAUGGCUUACCAAGACUAUGACACAUAACUGGUUUGAGAGGAUGAUCAGUCACACUGGAACUGAGACACGGUCCAGACUCCUACGGGAGGCAGCAGUGGGGAAUAUUGCACAAUGGACGAAAGUCUGAUGCAGCAACGCCGCGUGGAGGAUGACACAUUUCGGUGCGUAAACUCCUUUUAUAUGAGAAGAUAAUGACGGUAUUAUAUGAAUAAGCACCGGCUAACUCCGUGCCAGCAGCCGCCGCCGUAA
rnacentral:rRNA from 1 species